rnacentral:rRNA from 1 species
AUGGCGACGAGUCGACCUGAGUUAAGCAGCAGCCAGGGGAGGAGCACAAGUGCUCAACAGCAGCAGCAGCAACAAGGGGAGGGGCACACCAGCAGCCACAUCAAACCAGGGGAGGAGGGGAGGAGCACAACAGCAGGAACAACAACCAGGGGAGGGGAGGAGCACAGUAGCAGGGGAGGAGGGGAGGAGCACACCAUAGGAGGGGAGGAGCAGAACAGCAGCAGGGGCAACCAGGGGUGGCGGCUGGAGAGGGUUCGAUCGGGGGAGGGGGUGGGGGAUGAUCGAUCUAGGUUUCCAGGGGAGAUGGGCCGGCCCAUAUAA